rnacentral:misc_RNA from 1 species
GAAAUGCGAUAAGUAAUGUGAAUUGCAGAAUUCAGUGAAUCAUCGAAUCUUUGAACGCAUCUUGCGCUCCUUGGUAUUCCUUGGAGCAUGCCUGUUUGAGUAUCAUGAAAUCUUCAAAGUAAAGCUUUUGUUAACUCAAUUGGUUUCUACUUUGGUAUUGGAGGUCUUUGCAGCUUCACACCUGCUCCUAUUUGUUCAUUAGCUGGAUCUCAGUGUUAUGCUUGGUUCCACUCGGCGUGAUAAGUUAUCUAUCGCUGAGGACACUGUAAAAGGUGGCCAAGGUAAAUGCAGAUGAACCGCUUCUAAUAGUCCAUUGACUUGGACAAUACUUUUAUGAUCUGAUCUCAAAUCAGGUAGGACUACCCGCUGAACUUAAGC